GACGAACGCUGGCGGCGUGCUUAACACAUGCAAGUCGAACGGAAAGGCCCUGCUUUUGUGGGGUGCUCGAGUGGCGAACGGGUGAGUAACACGUGAGUAACCUGCCCUUGACUUUGGGAUAACUUCAUGCAACUGGGGCUAAUACCGGAUAGGAGCUCCUGCUGCAUGGUGGGGGUUGGAAAGUUUCGGCGGUUGGGGAUGGACUCGCGGCUUAUCAGCUUGUUGGUGGGGUAGUGGCUUACCAAGGCUUUGACGGGUAGCCGGGCUGCGAGGGUGACCGGCCAAAUUGGGACUGAGAUGCGGCACAGACUCCUACGGGAGGCAGGAGUGGGGAAGAGUGCACAAUGGGCGGAAGGAUGAUGCAGCAAAGCAGCGUGGGGGAUGACGGCAAUCGGGUUGUAAAGCGAUUCCGCCUGUGACGAAGCGUGAGUGACGGUAACGGGUAAAGAAGCACCGGCUAACUACGUG
rnacentral:rRNA from 1 species